rnacentral:rRNA from 1 species
AUGAAUGAAGAUCAGUCCAUGAAAGUUGCCCUCAACAAGCAAACUGAUAUCACAAAAAGGCAAAAUCGUAUUCGGUUGAAUACUUCCGUCGAAUCUGUUAGAUACUUAUUACAUCAAGGUUUAGCUUUCCGUGGCAAUGAUGAAUCAGAGGAAUCCAAAAAUAAGGGGAAUUUUCGAGAGUUGGUACAAACAUUAGCAAAUCAGAAUGAGGAUGUGAGGAAUGUAGUUCUUAAGAAUGCUCCAAAAAAUUGCAAAUGGGUGUCUCCAGAUAUUCAAAAGGAACUUGCAAAUUAUUUUGCAAAGAUAACAUUGAAUUCUAUUCUUGAAGAAAUUGGUGGUGAUGUUUUCAGUUUGUUGAUUGAUGAGGCUUCCGAUGUGUCAGACAAAGAACAGAUGGCUGUUGUGUUGAGGUAUGUUGAUAAGCUUGGGUUAAUCCUAGAACGACUAGUUGGGGUAGUACAUGUGAAGGAAACAUCGGCAACGUGUCUCAAGUCAGCCCUUGAGAAAUUGCUUGUUGAUAUUGGAUUAAGCUUCAAACAAGUUAGAGGGCAAUGCUAUGACGGGGCGAGCAAUAUGAGGGGUGAGUUCAAUGGUUUGAAAGCUAAAAUUCUAGAAGAGAAUAAGUCAGCAUAUUACGUGCAUUGUUUUGCUCACCAACUCCAAUUGGUUAUCGUAGCGAUUUCAAAGAAGAAUGAAGAUAUUGCAGAUUUCUUUUACAUGAUUUCUCUUUUGUUUAAUGUGGUUGGAGCUUCUUGCAAGAGAAAAGACAUGAUCAGGGAGACUAAUAGAGAGAAUGUGAAAAAAGCCAUAAGUAGUGGGCGAAUUAGUACCGGCACAGGGUUGAAUCAAGAUCAAUCACUUCAAAGGGCGGGAGACACCCGUUGGGGUUCUCACUAUAGAACCCUCUCAAGCCUAAUUCAGUUGUUCCCAUCAAUUGUCAGUGUCCUCAGGUAUGUAUCAAAAGAAGGCAAGAAAGAUUCCAAGAAAAGUGAAGCACGUGAUCUUCUAUCAUACUUUGGAACCUUUGAUUUUGUGUUCUAUUUGCACAUGAUGUUCCAUAUAUUAGGGAGUGCCAACACUCUGUCACAAGCAUUGCAACAAAAGGAUCAAGAUAUCUUGAAUGCAAUGUCAUGUGUGAAGUCAACAAGGAAUGAUCUACAACAACUAAGAGAUAAUGGGUGGGAAUCACUUUUGGAGAAGGUAUAUGCAUUCUGUGAAGAACAUGACAUUCCAAAGCUAAGCAUGCAAGAUGAAUAUGUCAAUCGACAUAAUACACGAAAAAGAACCAAUAUAACAAACCUGCAUCAUUAUCAAAUAGAGUGUCUUAACACUGUUAUUGAUUGGCAACUUCGAGAGUUUGAUGACAGAUUCUGA